GUCCUGGUCGAUUAGUGGUUAAAUCAUCUCGUUGUGGUGUAAUUUGAAAUGUAGAUGCUCCGAGAAGCCGAGGGCUCGACUCCCUCCCGGGACA